AGUGAACGCUGGCGGUAGGCCUAACACAUGCAAGUCGAACGGCAGCUCAGUAAGAGCUUGCUCUUACGGGUGGCGAGUGGCGGACGGGUGAGGAAUACAUCGGAAUCUACUUUUUCGUGGGGGAUAACGUAGGGAAACUUACGCUAAUACCGCAUACGACCUACGGGUGAAAGCAGGGGAUCUUCAGACCUUGCGCGAUUGAAUGAGCCGAUGUCGGAUUAGCUAGUUGGCGGGGUAAAGGCCCACCAAGGCGACGAUCCGUAGCUGGUCUGAGAGGAUGAUCAGCCACACUGGAACUGAGACACGGUCCAGACUCCUACGGGAGGCAGCAGUGGGGAAUAUUGGACAAUGGGCGCAAGCCUGAUCCAGCCAUACCGCGUGGGUGAAGAAGGCCUUCGGGUUGUAAAGCCCUUUUGUUGGGAAAGAAAAGCAGCAGGUUAAUACCCCGCUGUUCUGACGGUACCCAAAGAAUAAGCACCGGCUAACUUCGUG
rnacentral:rRNA from 1 species